rnacentral:rRNA from 1 species
UGACGAGUUUGAUCCUGGCUCAGAUUGAACGCUGGCGGCAGGCCUAACACAUGCAAGUCGAGCGGGGUUUUCGGACCUAGCGGCGGACGGGUGAGUAAUGCGUAGGAAGCUGCCCGAUAGAGGGGGAUACCAGUUGGAAACGACUGUUAAUACCGCAUAUUGUCUACGGACCAAAGUGUGGGACCUUCGGCCACAUACUAUCGGAUGCGCCUACGUGGAUUAGCUAGUUGGUGAGGUAAUGGCUCACCAAGGCGACG